UACAGAGGUGGCAAGCGUUGUCCGGAAUUACUGGGCGUAAAGAGCUCGUAGGUGGUUUGUCGCGUUGUUCGUGAAAACCGGGGGCUUAAUCCUCGGCGUGCGGGCGAUACGGGCAGACUUGAGUACUGCAGGGGAGACUGGAAUUCCUGGUGUAGCGGUGGAAUGCGCAGAUAUCAGGAGGAACACCGGUGGCGAAGGCGGGUCUCUGGGCAGUAACUGACGCUGAGGAGCGAAAGCGUGGGGAGCGAACAGG
rnacentral:rRNA from 1 species